AUGCACGCUGGCGGCGUGCCUCAUACAUGCAAGUCGAGCGAACAGAUGAGGAGCUUGCUCCUCUGACGUUAGCGGCGGACGGGUGAGUAACACGUGGAUAACCUACCUAUAAGACUGGGAUAACUUCGGGAAACCGGAGCUAAUACCGGAUAAUAUGUUGAACCGCAUGGUUCAAUAGUGAAAGACGGUUUUGCUGUCACUUAUAGAUGGAUCCGCGCCGCAUUAGCUAGUUGGUAAGGUAACGGCUUACCAAGGCAACGAUGCGUAGCCGACCUGAGAGGGUGAUCGGCCACACUGGAACUGAGACACGGUCCAGACUCCUACGGGAGGCAGCAGUAGGGAAUCUUCCGCAAUGGGCGAAAGCCUGACGGAGCAACGCCGCGUGAGUGAUGAAGGUCUUCGGAUCGUAAAACUCUGUUAUUAGGGAAGAACAAAUGUGUAAGUAACUAUGCACGUCUUGACGGUACCUAAUCAGAAAGCCACGGCUAACUACGUG
rnacentral:rRNA from 1 species